rnacentral:rRNA from 1 species
UACGGAGGAUCCGAGCGUUAUCCGGAUUUAUUGGGUUUAAAGGGAGCGUAGGUGGAUUGUUAAGUCAGUUGUGAAAGUUUGCGGCUCAACCGUAAAAUUGCAGUUGAAACUGGCAGUCUUGAGUACAGUAGAGGUGGGCGGAAUUCGUGGUGUAGCGGUGAAAUGCUUAGAUAUCACGAAGAACUCCGGUUGCGAAGGCAGCUCACUGGACUGUUGACUGACACUGAGGCUCGAAAGUGUGGGUAUCAAACAGG